rnacentral:lncRNA from 1 species
CUAUCAGUGGAGUUGCGUGAUGUAUGGUAAUGAUGACUAAGAUAGAAUGUAGUACAUUGAAUCAUCCAAGGUUACUAAUGAUUCACUUCCACCUUUCAUAUUUGAAGAAGUGAGAGUAGUGAUUUAAAAAUAUGUGAGUCCAUGUUGUUUUCAAAACCUCUUUCAUUAGGACUACUCUUGUUUUUCUUGAGGACACGCAAAAUAGUAAGUUUGGGGGAGGUGAUAUAGAAAUUGAUUUUACCAAUUUUUAGCCAUGGUAUACAAGUGUUUUAGUAGUUAUUUAUUAUGUUUUGAGUCUUUUUAGAGUAUUCACAGGUUCAAGAGUGUUUUGGAGAUAUGUGGUGAUUUUGGGGCAUUUUGGAGAUAAAGCUAGAAGAAACUCGUAGCUACCCAUCGAACCAGUCCAGAGUCGACAUUCAGAGUCAUACAUCGAUCGACGAACAACUGUUUUCGUUGAUCAACAGCGAAGCGCGCAAGGUUCGACUUGGUUCCCAGCCGGCUAAUGGUCCAAAUUCCGCAUCAAUCACAAAAAUACCCCUAGCUAACUUUAACCUAAUAUUUAUGUGAUUUGUCAUUGUUUUUGGGCAACACAUGAUUUCAUACUUUAUUCUUUUCACAGCAAAACAUAUUUAAGGUUUUUAGUAGUUUGGAAAGAAGAUCCAAAACUCCUUCAGAGCUUUGUAUUGGAACUCCAGUUUUUCUACCUUAUUCUAUUUAUGCACUCUAUUCAGAUAUUUGCUAUGUUCUGCUUUGCUAUGUCUGAGUAGUUACUUUUGUUAAAAUAAGGUUAUGAGGGAUUAGCCCAAAAUAUACGCUAAGUUGAUAAAUAUUUCCUUCAAUGAAUUAUUUGUAAUGCUUAUGUUCUAGAGUAGCUAAGUAAAACCCUGAACUUAAACUUAGGAUAAUUAAGCGCAUGCAAUGUCAUGGCCUUUUACCUUAAUUAAUUCCCUUGCGCUAGGAUUGUUAGAAACAAGCGAC